CUACGGGGCGCAGCAGUGAGGAAUAUUGCACAAUGGGGGGAACCCUGAUGCAGCAACGCCGCGUGGAGGAUGACGCAUUUCGGCGUGUAAACUCCUUUUAUAUGUCAAGAAAAUGACGGUAGCAUAUGAAUAAGCGCCGGCUAACUCCGUGCCAGCAGCCGCGGUAAUACGGAGGGCGCAAGCGUUACUCGGAAUCACUGGGCGUAAAGGACGCGUAGGCGGGUUGAAAAGUCAGGUGUGAAAGCCUACAGCUUAACUGUAGAACUGCACUUGAAACUCUCAAUCUAGAGUAUGGGAGGGGCAGAUGGAAUUAGUGGUGUAGGGGUAAAAUCCGUAGAUAUCACUAGGAAUACCUAAAGCGAAGGCGAUCUGCUGGAACAUUACUGACGCUAAGGCGUGAAAGCGUGGGGAGCAAACAGGAUUAGAUACCCCUGUAGUC
rnacentral:rRNA from 1 species